GACGAACGCUGGCGGCGUGCUUAACACAUGCAAGUCGAACGGUAAGGCCUUCGGGUACACGAGUGGCGAACGGGUGAGUAACACGUGGGUGAUCUGCCCCCUACUCUGGGAUAAGCCUGGGAAACUGGGUCUAAUACCGGAUAUGACCUCCUUCUGCAUGGUUGGUGGUGGAAAGUUUCUUCGGUAGGGGAUGAGCCCGCGGCCUAUCAGCUUGUUGGUGGGGUAAUGGCCUACCAGGGCGACGACGGGUAGCCGGCCUGAGAGGGCGACCGGCCACACUGGGACUGAGACACGGCCCAGACUCCUACGGGAGGCAGCAGUGGGGAAUAUUGCACAAUGGGCGAAAGCCUGAUGCAGCGACGCCGCGUGGGGGAUGACGGCCUUCGGGUUGUAAACCCCUUUCAGUCGGGACGAAGCGAGAGUGACGGUACCGAUAGAAGAAGCACCGGCCAACUACGUGCCAGCCGCCGCUGUAACAC
rnacentral:rRNA from 1 species